rnacentral:lncRNA from 1 species
CUGUGUGUAAUACUGGUGUUYGAGACGUGACAGAUCCACAGCCAUAUUUUAAAAAAAGAGGUUGGCAUAUUCAUGAGAAUGCAAAGUUACAAAAAAUAUUUGAAGACUGGAGAAAAUGCAGAAAAUGGCCACAGCGAGUCAGUUGCUGCCCCAGGAGACACAAGCACUGGAAGCUGGCUCUGCCAGGUGUAGCCACUACUUGGAUCGAACUCCCCAUCUGGGUGGGAGUAGAAGCAUAAGCACUGCCCAGGAAGGAAUUUUGCAGGAAUGAUACUGUUUCGAAAGAGAAAGAUGUUCAAAUCACAGGAAAGGCUAAUUCCUACCUAUCCUGCUGCAGCCUGCUGUCAGUCAAGUGUGGACACUGGUUUGAGUGACAAGUCAUUCUCCUAAUACUCUUUGUGGAAAUAAAGCAUUUGGAGAAGGAAAGCA